UACGUAGGGAGCAAGCGUUGUCCGGAAUCAUUGGGCGUAAAGCGCGCGUAGGCGGCUCGAUCAGUCUGUUGUGAAAGUCAAAGGCUCAACCUUUGAAUGCCGAUGGAUACUGUCGAGCUAGAGUCCGGAAGAGGCGGGUGGAAUUCCUGGUGUAGCGGUGGAAUGCGCAGAUAUCAGGAGGAACACCGAUGGCGAAGGCAGGUCUCUGGGCCACUACUGACGCUGAGAAGCGAAAGCAUGGGGAGCGAACAGG
rnacentral:rRNA from 1 species